rnacentral:lncRNA from 1 species
GAACUAGGGCACGGACUGGAUCUAGAUCAAAUGGUGUGUCACUUUUUGCACUCAUAACUUCCAGUUGUUUUGAGAAUACAAUAGAGUUUCGACAACUCCCAGUAACUGGGGUAUUCAGAUGGCCUGGAUUUCUCUGCUGUCACACUGUAAACCAGACUCCUUUCAGGAAGAUUUUGUUCUUCCCUCUUUUAAAGGUGGCAUAUUAUUGAAAUUAAAAUAGAAGAAAAGUCUCUGCCAACAAUUAAGCAUCACACUGAGUCACACCUGCUGCCUUAAAGAUAAGCAUAUAAUUUAUUAGACAGACUUCUUGAGCAAUAUCUGAUACAGUUCAGUUCAGUUCAAUCGCUCAGUUGUGUCUGACUCUUUGCGACCCC